ACUCAACAACAACAAACUGAAUUGAUUAAAUAGCUGACUUCCAGAGUGGACUAACUUGCUACUCAUAACAAGAUACUAGAGAAUCAAAUCGCUCAGCAAGUAAGUUCUUUAAGUAAGGUUGCUGGCAAACUGCCUAGCCAACCAGAAAUAAACCCAAAGGAGCAUUGUAAGGUAGUUACACUGAGAAGUGGGAGAACUCUAGUACACUCAGAGGUAGAACCGACAGAGGAAACCAUAGAAAAAUCUGAAGGGCAAGCAGAGAAAAAGGAGUAAGAAGCUAAGAAAGAUCGGGGAGAAGAAGCAAGGAAGACAGAGAAAUUACUAGAGCCAUAUCAACCUCCCCUACCUUUUCCUCGAGAUUUCAAAAAGCCAAAUUGGACAAGCAGUUUGGGAAGUUUUUGGAGGUUUUACAGAAACUUUGCAUCAACAUCCCCUUCAUUGAAGCACUUUCUCAAAUGCCAUCUUAUGCCAAAUUUCUUAAGGAAAUUCUGUCAAAGGAAAGAAAGCUAGAAGACUAUGGAACAGUAGCUCUAAUAGAGGAAUACAGUGCCAUUCUGC
rnacentral:misc_RNA from 1 species